rnacentral:rRNA from 1 species
GCGUGAGUGAAGAAGGCCUUAGGGUUGUAAAGCUCUUUCGCCUGCGACGAUGAUGACGGUAGCAGGAGAAGAAGCCCCGGCUAAUUCCGUGCCAGCAGCCGCGGUAAUACGGAAGGGGCUAGCGUUGUUCGGAAUUACUGGGCGUAAAGCGCAUGCAGGUGGUUGGACAAGUGAGGCGUGAAAGUCCUGGGCUCAACCUGGGGACGGCGCAUCAGACUGUUCGGCUAGAGUCCGGAAGAGGGUGGUGGAAUUCCGAGUGUAGAGGUGAAAUUCGU